GGCGGGGCAGCUGGUGUUGUGAAUCAGGCCGCUGUGGUGAUGAGACCGGCUACUUCCCAACACCAGGGUCUCUCCU
rnacentral:pre_miRNA from 8 species